UAUUUGCGUGAAGGAUUGAAGCGACAUCCUUUUUUUGCUGCCAUAUAUGGCAAAAAAAGAUAUAGCGUAAAGCCUGACCUUUA
rnacentral:sRNA from 1 species